AACGAACGCUGGCGGCAGGCCUAAUACAUGCAAGUCGAACGGAUGUAGCAAUACAUUAGUGGCGCACGGGUGCCUAACGCGUGGGAACAUACCCUUGAGUAAGGAAUAAUGUCUGGAAACGGACACUAAUACCUUAUAAUGACUUCGGUCCAAAGAUUUAUCGCUCAAGGAUUGGCCCGCGUCUGAUUAGCUAGUUGGUGAGGUAACGGCUCACCAAGGCGACGAUCAGUAGCUGGUCUGAGAGGAUGAUCAGCCACACUGGGACUGAGACACGGCCCAGACUCCUACGGGAGGCAGCAGUAAGGAAUAUUGGACAAUGGAGGAGACUCUGAUCCAGCCAUGCCGCGUGAGUGAAGAAGGCCUUAGGGUUGUAAAGCUCUUUCAAUGGUGAAGAUAAUGACGGUAGCCAUAGAAGAAGCCCCGGCUAAAUUCGUGCCAGCAGCCGCAGUAA
rnacentral:rRNA from 1 species